GUUGGAUGAAGCUGAAGGGAAGUUUGACUUUCAUCAAUUCCAUGAGAAAGUCAUUGAAAGAUUUUGCCUGCCACCUGAUGCCAAAGUUGCAUACAAGGAUGGAACAGAUACUGAAGUUGAUGAAGAAAUAUUCAGUGACCUCAUUAAACAAGGCAAUGUUGUGUUGAAGGUCUACUGCCAUGAUGAGUUCUCUGAAAGGUCUGCUUCUGAGUCUGA